rnacentral:pre_miRNA from 1 species
AGGGGGAGGCCGGAUCCUGGGCUGUGUCCCGGCGCCCUGUGCUCCGGAGCCUGCGCCAUUGGAUUCAUGCUCCGGCCCCGCAGCCCCCU